GACGAACGCUGGCGGCGUGCUUAACACAUGCAAGUCGAACGGAAAGGCCCUGCUUUUGCGGGGUGCUCGAUUGGCGAACGGGUGAGUAACACGUGAGUAACCUGCCCUUGACUUUGGGAUAACUUCAGGAAACUGGGGCUAAUACCGGAUAUGAGCUCCUGCUGCAUGGUGGGGGUUGGAAAGUUUCGGCGGUUGGGGAUGGACUCGCGGCUUAUCAGCUUGUUGGUGGGGUAGUGGCUUACCAAGGCUUUGACGGGUAGCCGGCCUGAGAGGGUGACCGGCCACAUUGGGACUGAGAUACGGCCCAGACUCCUACGGGAGGCAGCGGUGGGGAAUAUUGCACAAUGGGCGGAAGCCUGAUGCAGCAACGCCGCGUGCGGGAUGACGGCCUUCGGGUUGUAAACCGCUUUCGCCUGUGACGAAGCGUGAGUGACGGUAAUGGGUAAAGAAGCACCGGCUAACUACGUG
rnacentral:rRNA from 1 species